GGCACAUCAUUAAGGAGACAAGCCCCAUCAGGUUAAAGAACUGGCAUUGCGGGAUAGGUGCUGGCCUUAGCAACCCUAAGAUCACCAGUCCCGCAAGGCCUACUACCCACCUCAACACAGAGGUUCAGCCCCACGGCCAAAGUCAUAGUUGGCCGCCUCGCUCGCCUUUCUUUAGGGCUACAGCUAGGGCAUCCAAAGUCACGGCCAUGUUUUGAAUCGCCUACGGUCAUCGAGAGGCCCACAUCCCGCCACCACGUUCUAGUGGCCACGACUCCCCUCGGCCCAAAUCAUAGGUAGAGCCUCACCUGUCACUUGGUUCUAGUUAGGUUCUUCGCCUCGGCACUAGUUAGCAGGCCAGUUCUCCGAAGGUCUCGUUCCUCCUUCAUACUACCCUACUUAAUCUACUAUUGGACGAUCUACUAUCUACUAUUGGACGAAGUACCCAGCACGCCAGUCAGGCCUGGGUCUCCAGAGGAAUCCCUCACCUCCACUACCCCCAGGUCCCUGAGAUCUUGGACCAUCCCAAAAAUUGCAGUAGAACUUAGACUCAGGCGUAUCCCCUUUUCAGCCACCGCUAGAAAGGCAGAGCUGUACAGGCUCUUGACGGCUCAAGCCAACUAACCUAGGCACGGCACUAGCUCACAAGGGCCGUCUACCAACACUUCCGAUUCUACACAGGAGACCCUGACAGCUAUUCUGGCCAACCUCCAAACCAUGAAUAGCAGACUGCUAAAAGUGGAAUCAGCCAUAGACACUUCAGGUGACCGACCAGGCCCUCCCCUGGUAAUCUCUACUGUUCCGUCUGGCACCCUCCUCCCAGCCACAACCACUACCCCAUAUGUCUCACCUGCUCACUCCGUUCCAGCUUCCAUAAAAAAGGAAAUACUGGAUGGGAAAGAUGUGAACCUAGUUUCCUUCCUCAUAGCCUCACAAGAUGUCCUUGAGAACCAAGCCUACAAUUACGGG